CGAGUACUGUAUACAUAGAAAUAAAAAUAGCAGUGUCCAUCUAGAGAGAAUCAUAAGAAAUCAAAAAAUGCAUGGUGAAGCCAGCUCCCAGCGUAAUGAGUGGACCGCUGGUUUCGUAGUGACCAAGGCCUCACCGGUGAUGGUCCGGCCGUCGGAGUUGGAGCUGGGACGAACGCCAACGCCGUCGCUUCCCGCCGGUGACUACGCUACCGUUCCUCUCUCCUCUUUCGACAGACGUGUGCCUCCUAUGCCGGCCACCUCGCUGCUGGUGUUCGAGCGCACCAUUGACGAGCCCGUCGAGACGAUAAAGCGCGCCUUGUCGCGAGCGCUGGCUCACUACCGCCCCAUGGCCGGCCGCCUCGACGGUGCCGGCGGCAUCGCGUGCACCGAUGAGGGCGUGACGUUCGUAGGCGCCGCAGCCAGCUGUGCUCUCAAGGAGGCCACCACGAGGGCGCUGCAGGAGAUGGACCUCGCCGUGUGCUAUCCCGGCUUGCUCUGCCGUGAUGCGGAGCCCUUGCUUCUGGUGCAGGUGACAGAGUUCGCAUGUGGCGGCUUUGUUGUCGGGGUGACGUCGAACCACGUCGCCGCGGAUGGCCUCGGGAUGGCACAGUUCCUGAAGGCUCUCGGCGAGCUCGCGCGCGGGACCUCGCCGCCGUCUUGCAUCCCUGUCAGGAGCUGGGACGAGUCGCUCCCGGUCUCGUCAGCCAUCCCUGCUGCCAAGGGGAGCAUGGAGCAUCACGAUCCCCAGCAUCUGGCUACCCUCGACAUCGUCAUCCCGUCGGACCUGAUCAGCCGGAUCAAAGCUGACGACUGCUGCUCGGUGUUAGACGCCGUCAUGGCGGUGCUCUGGCGCUGCCGCACCCGCGCGACAAUGUCGCCCUGUGACGCCGAAUCUCCUGCGCCGCUCAAGUUUGCGUGCAACAUGCGCGCGCAUGCCGGGGCGCCAGCCGGAUACUACGGCAACUGCAUCCGCGUGCAGGUCGUCCGGGCGACGGCCGGCGUGGUGGCCAGCAGCGGCAUCGGACACCUUGUUGGGCUCAUCAGGCGCGUCAAGGAGAUGGUACCGGACCUCCUGUCCACGCCCGGCAGCCGGGCAGAAGCAGAUCAUUGUCAGGGGCAGCACGCGCCGCCGCCGUCUCUCUGGUACGAGACGUUCACCGUGACGGACUGGAGGAACCUUGGCUUGGACGCAGUCGACUUCGGCGGUGGGCCGCCGGAGCGGGUGCUGUUGAGGCACGAUAGGAGGGCAAUGGUGCCGAGCUGUGUGGUGUGCCCGCGCAGCAGGGCGAAGAGGCAUGAAUGUGAUGGGGUGUUCGUGUCCUCCAAGUUCGUCAAGCCACAACACGUCGAUGCUUUGCUUGCCGAGCUCGCGGCGCUGGUAGCUUCAGGGUAGCGAGUCAAAUAACUCAAAUUCCAUGUGGGACUAUAGGAGCAUGCAUGUAGGAGACGAGUAAAAUAAGUCUGGG
rnacentral:misc_RNA from 1 species